UACAGAGACUGCAAGCGUUAUUCGGAUUCACUGGGCGUAAAGGGUGCGCAGGCGGCCGUGUGUGUGAGGCGUGAAAGCCCGGGGCUUAACCCCGGAAUUGCACCUCAAACUACAUGGCUAGAGCAUUGGAGAGGGUAGCGGAAUUCACGGUGUAGCAGUGAAAUGCGUAGAUAUUCGGAAGAACACCAGUGGCGAAGGCAGCACGUUGGCGCUCGAUUGACGCUCAGGCACGAAAGCAUGGGGAUCAAACAGG
rnacentral:rRNA from 1 species